CAGGUCACUCUCCAGGGCCUCACAGCUACUUGCCAGGCCCCCCGGGUCGUUAAUAACACGCUGGCAGGCUGCGGGACUGGAGACCAGGCCAACGAAUGUCUGUGGAGCUUCAAUGUGCCACGGCCUGGAACGUCUGCAUUCAAGUGCGCGUCCUCCCCACCGUUACCACCUGGGCCGCCAAGUACCAAACCACCGCCACCCUCGCCACCGGUGCAGUCACCCUCGCCCCCACCGAAGGCGCCUAGCCCUCGCCCACCCUCACCUUCACCGCCCAGCCCUCAGCCGCGAUCUCCUUUUCCGCCAAGCCCUCGCCCACCCUCCCCUUCACCACCCAGGCCUCGCCCACCCUCCCCUUCACCACCCAGGCCUCGCCCACCCUCGCCUCCACCAACCAGCUCUCCACCGCCACCACCUAGCCCUUCACCACCAUCGCCUUUACCACCCAGCUUUUUACCGCCAUCGCCUCCACCGCCCAGCCCUCGCCCUCCAUCGCCUUUACCACCCAGCCCUCCAGCGCCGUCUCCUCCCCUGUCAAGCGGUUGCCUCUAUUCGAAUCCGGGCAACUACAGCAGCAUCUCUCUGGGCAGCGCGGAGGUAUGUGCCUGAUUUAGCUUGCUUUGUUACAGGGAAUUAUACUCUUUCCAUUUUACUGAGACGUUUGUUCCCUUUUAUGUCUUCAGGGUGGCAUCGAGACCUGCUCGGACCAAGCUGGCUGCCUAGACAUCUUCAUGGACAGCGGCACCUGCAAGACGGUGACGGGUUCGAAUGCCUCCUGGCUAUACUGUGAAGUUUGUCUGUACUGGAGCAAUGUCCGGGGCACGUGCGCCAAGUCUACUGGGGACACGGUCAGCCACGUGUGUAUGGGCGACGAGUUCUACCCGGUGAUUGCAACUGCCGGCGGUCAGCCUGCAGCCGGGAACACGCAGAAGCUGGACGGCUGGAGCAAUGGAGCAAAGAGUAAGUGACUAGCAUGUGCUUGCACCAUGCACGGUGCGUUGCUUCCAGGUCCUCUUUGCGCUAAAAGCCAUCAUACGCAUAUGACUGCUACCUACUUUCCGCAGAUCGCUACUGCCAGUGGGUCCGCUGGAAUAGCAGCAACUUCGAUACGGAGCUGGUCCACUUCACGGUCAAGGACGGCACUGGAGCCUGUCGCGAUGGUAAGGAGGAGGGGAGCUCACUGACUCGAAUGCAUCGCCAUGCAUCUUGAACGUCCAACAUCCAAGUCAAGGUAGUUUGCACAGAUGGACCCCGGGCAUGAUGCACUAACAUGCACUAUUCCUUAACUUCCUGUCCCCCCUCCCUGAAACCCUGUGUGCGCUGCAGCUCCGGGCCCGCUGCAGGUCACCCUCCAGGGCCUCACAGCUACUUGCCAGGCCCCCCGGGUCGUCAAUAACACGCUGGCGGGCUGCGGGACUGGAGACCAGGCCAACGAAUGUCUGUGGAGCUUCAAUGUGCCACGGCCUGGAACGUCUGCGUUCAAGUGCGCGUCCUCCCCACCGUUACCACCAAGCACGAACGCACCGCCACCCUCGCCACCGGUGCAGUCACCCUCGCCGCCAUCGAAGCCGCCCAGCCCUCGCCCACCCUCCCCUUCACCACCCAGGCCUCGCCCACCCUCGCCUCCACCCACCAGCUCUCCACCGCCAUCGCCUCCACCACCUAGCCCUUCACCACCAUCGCCUUUACCACCCAGCUCUCAGCCGCCAUCGCCUCCACCGCCCAGCCCUCAACCGCCAUCGCCAUCACCUUCCAGCUCUCCACCGCCAUCGCCUGCUCCACCCAGCCCUCCACCUCCAUCCCCUGCUACCCCCAGACCUCCCCCACCCUCGCCUUUACCGCCAAGCCCUCCACCGCCAUCGCCUCCACCGCCAGGCCCUCCACCGCCAUCGCCUUUACCACCCAGCCCUCCAGCGCCGUCUCCUCCCCUGUCAAGCGGUUGCCUCUAUUCGAAUCCAGGCAACUACAGCAGCAUCUCUCUGGGCAGCGCGGAGGUAUGUGCCUGAUUUAGCUUGCUUUGUUACAGGGAAUUAUACUCUUUCCAUUUUACUGAGACGUUUGUUCCCUUUUAUGUCUUCAGGGUGGCAUCGAGACCUGCUCGGACCAAGCUGGCUGCCUAGACAUCUUCAUGGACAGCGGCACCUGCAAGACGGUGACGGGUUCGAAUGCCUCCUGGCUAUACUGUGAAGUUUGUCUGUACUGGAGCAAUGUCCGGGGCACGUGCGCCAAGUCUACUGGGG
rnacentral:lncRNA from 1 species